rnacentral:rRNA from 1 species
CCUACGGGAGGCAGCAGUGAGGAAUAUUGGUCAAUGGACGAGAGUCUGAACCAGCCAAGUAGCGUGAAGGAUGACUGCCCUAUGGGUUGUAAACUUCUUUUAUAUGGGAAUAAAAUGUUCCACGUGUGGGAUUUUGUAUGUACCAUAUGAAUAAGGAUCGGCUAACUCCGUGCCAGCAGCCGCGGUAAUACGGAGGAUCCAAGCGUUAUCCGGAUUUAUUGGGUUUAAAGGGUGCGUAGGUGGAUUGUUAAGUUAGUUGUGAAAGUUUGCGGCUCAACCGUAAAAUUGCAUUUGAUACUGGCAGUCUUGAGUAUAGUAGAGGUGGGCGGAAUUCGUGGUGUAGCGGUGAAAUGCUUAGAUAUCACGAAGAACUCCGAUUGCGAAGGCAGUUCACUGGACUGCAACUGACACUGAGGCUCGAAAGUGUGGGUAUCAAACAGGAUUAGAUACCCUAGUAGUC